UACGUAGGGUGCGAGCGUUGUCCGGAAUUACUGGGCGUAAAGAGCUCGUAGGUGGUUUGUCGCGUUGUCCGUGAAAACUCACAACUCAGUUGUGGGCGUGCGGGCGAUACGGGCAGACUGGAGUACUGCAGGGGAGACUGGAAUUCCUGGUGUAGCGGUGGAAUGCGCAGAUAUCAGGAGGAACACCGGUGGCGAAGGCGGGUCUCUGGGCAGUAACUGACGCUGAGGAGCGAAAGCGUGGGGAGCGAACAGG
rnacentral:rRNA from 1 species